rnacentral:sRNA from 8 species
AUGAAGCUUCUUUGUUGGCAAAAAUCAAUCCAUGGUUCUUAAAAUCAAACAUGGAGAGAAGUGUGAGAGGGUUAAUUAGUUGGUACUAAUUAUGAUUAGUACUAAUUACAUCAUCCUUUACACUCUCCCUCCAUUUUUACAAAAACAGUUUGCUUUGUGCUUUAGCUAUUGGCUUCUCAUAUCAUAAAGGGAUGUGCUUUUUUCUGAGUAUCAGAAGCAAAUAAUUAAGCAUUUUUCUCUAUUGGAUCAGAAGCUUUGGUUAUAGUAUGGCAAACCGGCAAGUCACAAAAAGGCAAUGGAUUCCUUUUUGGAGUCUU